rnacentral:lncRNA from 1 species
AUGCAGAGAUUGGAGACCUGCCUGGUUUGGGAAUGGGGUUUGAACAUGUCUCUCUGGUGUCCUAGGAGAGGACCCAGGCUGUGGGCACUCUCUGAUGGUGCUUUUCUUCUGUGUAUACCACGUUCUGUGGCCAGGAAGACCACUGUGAGAUUAACUCCUCAGCGAGAGACUUCUAGUGUUCAGCCAAGACACAUGGAUUCCGAUCCCUGCUCCAGGGAGGAGGAGCAAGCUCCAGAAGACGGAGUUGAAACAAAUUUCCAUCAGAAUGCACUGCGAGGGUCUCCUGGGGGAUGCAUAUGCAUAUUUCUGUUAUGUAUAAAACAGUGACGUGUUCUAAGAGCAAGUUCAGGCACCUGCAAAAGUUUGAAAAGUUUUGUACCAGGGUUUUUCAAGGUUCAAAGCAGAUGGGCAGAGGGGUUAAGGCAGAAAAAAGAGAUACUUCACAAUCUAGCUGUGCACGUAGACACCUGACAAUGCCCACUCUACCCAUGACCUACUUGCUGGGACUGCUAAGUUUCACGUAGUGCUUUUGGAUGUUUUCUUUCCCGUUCAUUAGCAUCAGGACCACUAGAACUAGAAUCUGUGACCACCUAAAAAUCCCUAACAAUGUGCUCUUUAAAAAGAAAACCUUUAAUAUACUGUGUCCAAUUCUGGGCUCCCCAGUACAAGAGAGACAUGGCACUACUGGAGAGAGUCCAGCGGAGGGCUCCUAAGAUGAUGAGGGGACUGGAGCAUCUCUCCUAUGAAGAAAUGCUGAGAGCCGGGCCUGUUGAGCCUGGAGAAGAGAAGACUGAGAGGUGAUCUCAUAUAGGUAUGCAAAUAUGUGAAGGGAGAGUGUCAAGAGGAUGGGGCCAGACUCUUCUCCGUGGUACCCAGCGACAGGACAAGAGGCAACGGGCGCAAACGGAAACAUAGAAAGUUCUGUCUGAACAUGAGGAAAAACUUCUCCACAGUGAGGGUGACUGAGCAUUGGACCAGGUUGCCCAGAGAGGUAGUGGAGUCUCCUUCGCUGGAGAUAUUCAAAACCCGCCUGGACCUUAUCCUGUGCAAUAUGCUUUAGAGGACCCUGCUUGAGCAGGGGGGUUGGACUAGAUGAUCUCCAGAGGUCCCUUCCAACCUUGGCCAUUCUGUGAUUCUGUGAUUCUGUGAACAUAAAAAUACACCAAGGUGAACAAAAGAUAUAUUUACAUAAUGCACCUGAUCUUAAUAACCUUUUGAAGCCAGUUCUUCUCCCACAGAGUAUAUGAAGUUCAGGCGCUGUACAGACAGCUAUUCCACAGACAUCUGCAUUCUCCAAAGGCAGGGGUCAAGGCCAGGCAGGCCUCUC